rnacentral:misc_RNA from 1 species
AUGGAUUGGACUGUACAAAAUGUUAGGUUAUUUGAAAUAUUGGAGGGCCCCCAAAUAUCAAGGACAGGCAAUGAGUUCAUUGUUGUUAGGUCACUUGAACCAUUCAAGGGCCCUGCCCUCUAAACUUUCAAGUGCCGUACCGGCAGAGUGGCAGUCAACAAAUAGUAGGAUUCACAAGUGCAGGGUGUGACAUUUGAUGGAAAUUGCCCUGUAAUUG